AGUUUACUCAUGAGGUGGCGAGCGGCGGACGGGUGAGUAAUGCCUAGGGAUCUGCCCAGUCGAGGGGGAUAACAGUUGGAAACGACUGCUAAUACCGCAUACGCCCUACGGGGGAAAGAGGGGGACCUUCGGGCCUCUCGCGAUUGGAUGAACCUAGGUGGGAUUAGCUAGUUGGUGAGGUAAUGGCUCACCAAGGCGACGAUCCCUAGCUGUUCUGAGAGGAUGAUCAGCCACACUGGGACUGAGACACGGCCCAGACUCCUACGGGAGGCAGCAGUGGGGAAUAUUGCACAAUGGGGGAAACCCUGAUGCAGCCAUGCCGCGUGUGUGAAGAAGGCCUUCGGGUUGUAAAGCACUUUCAGUAGGGAGGAAAGGGUGAGUCUUAAUACGGCUCAUCUGUGACGUUACCUACAGAAGAAGGACCGGCUAACUCCGUGCCAGCAGCCGCGGUAAUACGGAGGGUCCGAGCGUUAAUCGGAAUUACUGGGCGUAAAGCGUGCGCAGGCGGUUUGUUAAGCGAGAUGUGAAAGCCCUGGGCUCAACCUAGGAAUAGCAUUUCGAACUGGCGAACUAGAGUCUUGUAGAGGGGGGUAG
rnacentral:rRNA from 1 species